AACGAACGCUGGCGGCAGGCCUAACACAUGCAAGUCGAGCGAGAUCUUCGGGUCUAGCGGCGGACGGGUGAGUAACGCGUGGGAAUAUGCCUCUUGGUACGGAAUAGCCUCGGGAAACUGGGAGUAAUACCGUAUGUGCCCUUUGGGGGAAAGAUUUAUCGCCAAGAGAUUAGCCCGCGUUGGAUUAGGUAGUUGGUGGGGUAAUGGCCUACCAAGCCGACGAUCCAUAGCUGGUUUGAGAGGAUGAUCAGCCACACUGGGACUGAGACACGGCCCAGACUCCUACGGGAGGCAGCAGUGGGGAAUCUUAGACAAUGGGGGCAACCCUGAUCUAGCCAUGCCGCGUGAGUGAUGAAGGCCUUAGGGCUGUAAAGCUCUUUCAGCUGGGAAGAUAAUGACGGUACCAGCAGAAGAAGCCCCGGCUAACUCCGUG
rnacentral:rRNA from 1 species